rnacentral:lncRNA from 1 species
GACAAGGCAUUGUGGGCAUUAUUCAAGUUAUUGGGCAGCCAAAUACACAAUUUGUAUCAAAUGCAGAAAGGUCAAAUUCGGAAUAAAAACUGUAUUGAUUGAGCCAGAAUUAAAAUGCAAGCUAUAUACCGUUGGAAAGAUAAUUAAGUUAGCUUUCCAAUAAAUUUUACAGAGCUGGAUUUGGAGUUCUCUAGAAGGAGUUAUGACCAAUUCUUUACAGCGUGUUCAGACUUGGGAUUUUCAACGAAUCUUUUGUUUUUCAACUUAUUUGUUUGUUUUGUUUCAAGUUUGUCAAUGAUAGCAUUAAUUAUAGUAGGCUAGCAUUAAGUUUGUCAAAGAUAGCAUUGAUCAUGGUGGGUUGGUGAAGACUUUUGAAACAUCUUUUGACAAACCUACUUGGAG